CCAGUAGUCAUAUGCUUGUCUCAAAGAUUAAGCCAUGCAUGUCUCAGUACAAGCCAAAUUAAGGUGAAACCGCGAAAGGCUCAUUAAAUCAGUUAUGGUUCCUUAGAUCGUACCCACAUUUACUUGGAUAACUGUGGUAAUUCUAGAGCUAAUACAUGCAAACAGAGCUCCGACCGGAGACGGAAGGAGCGCUUUUAUUAGAUCAAAACCAAUCGGUGGCGGGUCUCCCGUCACCGUACACCUUGGUGACUCUGAAUAACUUAUUGCUGAUCGCACGGUCUCGCACCGGCGACGCAUCUUUCAAAUGUCUGCCUUAUCAACUGUCGAUGGUAGGUUCUGCGCCUACCAUGGUUGUAACGGGUAACGGGGAAUCAGGGUUCGAUUCCGGAGAGGGAGCCUGAGAAACGGCUACCACAUCCAAGGAAGGCAGCAGGCGCGCAAAUUACCCACUCCCGGCACGGGGAGGUAGUGACGAAAAAUAACGAUACGGGACUCAUCCGAGGCCCCGUAAUCGGAAUGAGUACACUCUAAACCCUUUAACGAGGAUCAAUUGGAGGGCAAGUCUGGUGCCAGCAGCCGCGGUAAUUCCAGCUCCAAUAGCGUAUAUUAAAGUUGUUGCGGUUAAAAAGCUCGUAGUCGAAUUUGUGUCCCGCGCCGCCGGUUCAUCGCUCGCGGUGUCAACUGGCGUGUCCGCGGGACGUCCUGCCGGUGGGCUUAGCCCCUCGUGGGCGGCCCAAUCUCAAUCCCACCGCGGUGCUCUUCAUUGAGUGUCGAGGUGGGCCGGCACGUUUACUUUGAACAAAUUAGAGUGCUUAAAGCAGGCUAAAACAUCGCCUGAAUACUGUGUGCAUGGAAUAAUGGAAUAGGACCUCGGUUCUAUUUUGUUGGUUUUCGGAACCCCGAGGUAAUGAUUAAUAGGAACGGAUGGGGGCAUUCGUAUUGCGACGUUAGAG
rnacentral:rRNA from 1 species